GAGGAUGUGGCUCGGCGGGGGAGCAAUUGCCUUGUAUGCACAAGAUCCUGGGUUUGAUCCCCAGCACCACCA
rfam:Cavia porcellus supercont2_123 genomic scaffold, whole genome shotgun sequence.